rnacentral:rRNA from 1 species
GACGAACGCUGGCGGCGUGCUUAACACAUGCAAGUCGAACGGAAAGGCCCUGCUUUUGUGGGGUGCUCGAGUGGCGAACGGGUGAGUAACACGUGAGUAACCUGCCCUUGACUUUGGGAUAACUUCAGGAAACUGGGGCUAAUACCGGAUAGGAGCUCCUGCUGCAUGGUGGGGGUUGGAAAGUUUCGGCGGUUGGGGAUGGACUCGCGGCUUAUCAGCUUGUUGGUGGGGUAGUGGCUUACCAAGGCUUUGACGGGUAGCCGGCCUGAGAGGGUGACCGGCCACAUUGGGACUGAGAUACGGCCCAGACUCCUACGGGAGGCAGCAGUGGGGAAUAUUGCACAAUGGGCGGAAGCCUGAUGCAGCAACGCCGCGUGCGGGAUGACGGCCUUCGGGUUGUAAACCGCUUUCGCCUGUGACGAAGCGUGAGUGACGGUAAUGGGUAAAGAAGCACCGGCUAACUACGUGCCAGCAGCCGCGGUGAUACGUAGGGUGCGAGCGUUGUCCGGAUUUAUUGGGCGUAAAGGGCUCGUAGGUGGUUGAUCGCGUCGGAAGUGUAAUCUUGGGGCUUAACCCUGAGCGUGCUUUCGAUACGGGUUGACUUGAGGAAGGUAGGGGAGAAUGGAAUUCCUGGUGGAGCGGUGGAAUGCGCAGAUAUCAGGAGGAACACCAGUGGCGAAGGCGGUUCUCUGGGCCUUUCCUGACGCUGAGGAGCGAAAGCGUGGGGAGCGAACAGGCUUAGAUACCCUGGUAGUCCACGCUGUAAACGGUGGGUACUAGGUGUGGGGUCCAUUCCACGGGUUCCGUGCCGUAGCUAACGCUUUAAGUACCCCGCCUGGGGAGUACGGCCGCAAGGCUAAAACUCAAAGGAAUUGACGGGGCCCCGCACAAGCGGCGGAGCAUGCGGAUUAAUUCGAUGCAACGCGUAGAACCUUACCUGGGUUUGACAUGGAUCGGGAGCGCUCAGAGAUGGGUGUGCCUCUUUUGGGGUCGGUUCACAGGUGGUGCAUGGCUGUCGUCAGCUCGUGUCGUGAGAUGUUGGGUUAAGUCCCGCAACGAGCGCAACCCUUGUUCACUGUUGCCAGCACGUUAUGGUGGGGACUCAGUGGAGACCGCCGGGGUCAACUCGGAGGAAGGUGGGGAUGACGUCAAGUCAUCAUGCCCCUUAUGUCCAGGGCUUCACGCAUGCUACAAUGGCUGGUACAGAGAGUGGCGAGCCUGUGAGGGUGAGCGAAUCUCGGAAAGCCGGUCUCAGUUCGGAUUGGGGUCUGCAACUCGACCUCAUGAAGUCGGAGUCGCUAGUAAUCGCAGAUCAGCAACGCUGCGGUGAAUACGCUCCCGGG